rfam:Dorea longicatena CAG:42 genomic scaffold, scf26
UGAUAUUUCUCAAGAGAGAGCUGCCAGGGCAGCCGCCGAAGAGGCAAACCGGUAUCGAAAAAAUAGGGAAAAACCGGACGAAACUUUCAGGCAAAAGGACGGAGAAAGGGAC